ensembl:lncRNA
AAAUGGAAACUGCAUUUCAGAAAGAAUGACAAGGAUUAAAGUUUAGAAUAGAAAUGGUUUUUUAUCAAUUCUAAUAACACAAUAAUGGUUAACAAAGCAUAUUGCUUCCAUCUAAUACACAGUAAACCUCUAAGCGAAAGUAAAAAAAGACUGUCAGGUAUAAAAAAAUGUAGAAAAAAGAAGUAAAAGUCUUUUAGAAUUUUCAGGAAUUCAGAGACCUGAGGCCUCUGUGCACAAUACAUUUGCUAUUAGAGAUUUGAGGUCUCUGUGCAGAAUAUAUUUGCUCCCUUCCCUAUCUAAAUUGUACUUAUACUUAGCUUUAAAAAAACUUCAACAAAUAAUAAUUAUAUUUAUGGGGUACAAUAGGAUGCUUUGAUAUAUGUUUACAUUGUAUAGUGAUUAAGCUAAUUAACAUACACGUCACCUCACAUACUUAUUUUUUGUAGUGAGAUCAUUUAAACUCUUUUAGCAAAUUUGAAGUUAUACAGUAUUUUAACUACAGUCAUCAAGUUGUGCAACAGAUCUCGCAAAUUUGUUCUCUUGUCUAACUAUAAUUUUGUACCUUUUGAACAACAUCUCCCCUUUCCCCAUCUUACCAGCCCCACAUUCUCUGGUGACUACCAUUCUAUUUUCUAUUCCAAUGAGUUUGACUUUUUUAGAUAACAGUUAGCUUAAUUCAGGGGUUUUUAGGCUGGAGCUCAUGGUUCCCCAAAGCAUCACUUCAUAGAGAGAAUUCAGAGAGUCUGUGAACUUGGGUGAGCAAAAAGUUAUUUCUCUAUUUUCAUCUAAAUCUAACUGAAAGUUAACUUUUCUUCAGUUACAAAUGUCAACAUCAACCACCGUUGCAUCAGCAGUACCAGCAACUUUGCCACCAAAAAAAAGAUACCACAGCAUUCAGUCGAAAGGUGGGCGUGAUGAUCCACAUAUGUCCAAUGAGUUAUGAGGGAAGACCUGGUGGAAGACUUCAGAGAUAACUUUCUGUGCUCUUAAAAAGAGACACACAGGAGGCCGGGUGUGGUGGCUCAUGCCUGUAAUCCCAGCACUUUGGAAGGCCAAGGUGGGCAGAUCACGAGGUCAGGAGUUCGAUCCAGUCUGACCAAUAUGGUGAAGCCCCAUCUCUACUAAAAAUACAAAAAUUAGCAGGGCAUAGUGGCAUGCACCUGUAAUCCUAGCGACUCGGGAGGCUGAGGCAGAAGAAUCGCUUGAACCCAGGAGGCAGAGGUUGCAGUGAGCAGAGAUCGCGCCACUGCACUCCAGCCAGGGUGACAGAGUGAGACUACGUCUCAGAAAAAUAAAGAAGAGACACACAGAAAGAAAAGGCACUCUCCCGCUGGAGGUUUUCAUGGCUUUUAUGGUUUUAGAAUUGUGACAGUCAUUUUGCAAUCAUUGCAGGAGGUAAGGUGGCAUGCUAAAAUGGCAAGGUGGAAAGAUGGAAAGAACCUGCAUUCUUCCUAUGCUAUUUAGCCUCUGAAGUAAGAAACCUUAGAACUGUUCUACCACAGUCCUUUCUGUUAUCUGUAAACUUUUCUAUUUCUUAAUAAAUGAACAAAUUUCUUACUGCUCACAACAUCCUGAAACACAAGCUCACUAUAGAAACUUGAGUAUAUGCAGAAAAAAAUCUGAAGACGAAAAUAAUUUUCAGA